UACAGAGGGUGCGAGCGUUAAUCGGAAUUACUGGGCGUAAAGCGCACGUAGGUGGCGACGUAAGUCGGGUGUGAAAGCCCCGGGCUCAACCUGGGAAUUGCAUUCGAGACUGCAUUGCUGGAGUACGGAAGAGGAGGGCGGAAUUCCCGGUGUAGCGGUGAAAUGCGUAGAUAUGAUUUAGAACACCAAUUGCGAAGGCAGCUCGCUAAACAGAUAUUGACGCUGAGGUGCGAAAGCGUGGGGAGCAAACAGG
rnacentral:rRNA from 1 species